AUAGGAAUCAACUGGGGAUCUUAUAAAAAUGUAGAUCAUGAUUUAAUACAUGAGGAUACUGGCCUGAGAUUCUGCAUUUUUAAUAAGGACCCAGGUGAUGUUUAU
rnacentral:miRNA from 1 species